rnacentral:rRNA from 1 species
CGGGGUGCAGCAGGCGCGAAAACUUUACCAUGUGGGAAACCGUGAUAAGGGAACUCCGAGUGCCCGUAAAAUCGGGCUGUCCAUCUGUUUAAAUAACAGGUGAAGAAAGGGCCGGGCAAGACCGGUGCCAGCCGCCGCGGUAAUACCGGCGGCUCGAGUGGUGGCCACUAUUACUGGGCUUAAAGCGUUCGUAGCUGGUCUGUUAAGUCUCUGGGGAAAUCUACUGGCUUAACCAAUAGGCGUUUCAGGGAUACUGGCAGACUAGGGACCGGGAGAGGUGAGGGGUACUCCAGGGGUAGGAGUGAAAUCCUGUAAUCCUUGGGGGACCACCUGUGGCGAAGGCGCCUCACCAGAACGGCUCCAACAGUGAGGGACGAAAGCUGGGGGAGCAAACCGGAUUAGAUACCCGGGUAGUCCCAGCCGUAAACGAUGCGCGUUAGGUGUAUCGGUGACCACGAGUCACCGAGGUGCCGAAGAGAAAUCGUGAAACGUGCCGCCUGGGAAGUACGGUCGCAAGGCUGAAACUUAAAGGAAUUGGCGGGGGAGCAC